CAGCCGCCGCGGGAAUACGAGGGGGGCAAGCGUUGUUCGGAAUUAUUGGGCGUAAAGGGCGCGUAGGCGGUUUGGCAAGUUUGGUGUGAAAUCUUCGGGCUCAACUCGAAGUCUGCACCGAAAACUGCCGGGCUUGAGUAUGGGAGAGGUGAGUGGAAUUUCCGGUGUAGCGGUGAAAUGCGUAGAUAUCGGAAGGAACACCUGUGGCGAAAGCGGCUCACUGGACCAUAACUGACGCUGAGGCGCGAAAGCUAGGGGAGCAAACAGGAUUAGAGACCCCCGUAGUCCCUGUCUCUUAUAC
rnacentral:rRNA from 1 species